AGAGCGAACGCUGGCGGCAGGCCUAAAACAUGCAAGUCGAACGGACCCUUCGGGGUUAGUGGCGGACGGGUGAGUAACACGUGGGAACGUGCCUUUUGGUUCGGAACAACUCAGGGAAACUUGAGCUAAUACCGAAUGUGCCCUUCGGGGGAAAGAUUUAUCGCCAUUAGAGCGGCCCGCGUUGGAUUAGCUAGUUGGUGGGGUAAAGGCCCACAAGGCUACGAUCCAUAGCUGGUCUGAGAGGAUGAUCAGCCACACUGGGACUGAGACACGGCCCAGACUCCUACGGGAGGCAGCAGUUAGGAAUCUUGCGCAAUGGGGGAAACCCUGACGCAGCCAUGCCGCGUGAAUGAUGAAGGUCUUAGGAUUGUAAAAUUCUUUCAGCGGGGACGAUAAUGACGGUACCGCAGAAGAGCUCCGGCUAACUUCGUGCCAGCAGCCGUC
rnacentral:rRNA from 1 species